AGGAUGAACGCUGGCGGCGUGCCUAACACAUGCAAGUCGAACGUCCUGUCUCGCAAGAGGCAGGGAGUGGCGGACGGGUGAGUACCACGUGGGUUAUCUACCGUGAGGUGAGGAAUACCGGCGAGAAAUCGCCGACAAGACCGCAUAGCCUCGGUGCAAGCCGAGGAAAGCUUUCUCGAGAGAGGGAGCGCCACACGAGGAGCCUGCGCCCGAUUAGCUAGCUGGUGGAGUAACGGUUCACCAGGGCGACGAUCGGUAGCUGGUCUGAGAGGACGAUCAGCCACACUGGGAUUGAGAACGGCCCAGACUCCUACGGGGGGCAGCAGUGAGGAAUUUUCGUCAAUGGGGGCAACCCUGAACGAGCAACGCCGCGUGCAGGAAGAAGGUUUUCGGAUCGUAAACUGCUUUUCGUCGGGGAAGAGAACGGACGGUACCCGAGGAAUCAGCCCCGGCUAACUACGUGCCAGCAGCCGCGGUAA
rnacentral:rRNA from 1 species